GGUCAAGCGAACAAGUGCAUGUGGUGGAUGCCUUGGCGAUCACAGGCGAUGAAGGACGCGGUAGCCUGCGAAAAGCCCCGGGGAGCUGGCAAACAAGCUUUGAUCCGGGGAUGUCCGAAUGGGGAAACCCACUCCGUAUGGAGUAUCCAUAGCUGAAUACAUAGGCUAUGUGAAGCGAACGCGGUGAACUGAAACAUCUAAGUAACCGCAGGAAAAGAAAUCAACCGAGAUUCCCAAAGUAGUGGCGAGCGAAAUGGGAUGAGCCUUGUACUCUUUAUUUGUAUUGUUAGCCGAACGCUCUGGAAAGUGCGGCCAUAGCAGGUGAUAGCCCUGUAGGCGAAAACAGUAUGAAAGAACUAGGUGUACGACAAGUAGGGCGGGACACGUGAAAUCCUGUCUGAAGAUGGGGGGACCAUCCUCCAAGGCUAAAUACUCGUGAUCGACCGAUAGUGAACCAGUACCGUGAGGGAAAGGCGAAAAGAACCCCGGGAGGGGAGUGAAAUAGAUCCUGAAACCGCAUGCAUACAAACAGUCGGAGCCUCGUAAGGGGUGACGGCGUACCUUUUGUAUAAUGGGUCAGCGACUUACGUUCAGUAGCAAGCUUAACCGUAUAGGGCAGGCGUAGCGAAAGCGAGUCCGAAUAGGGCGUUCAGUUGCUGGGCGUAGACCCGAAACCAGGUGAUCUAUCCAUGGCCAGGAUGAAGGUGCGGUAACACGUACUGGAGGUCCGAACCCACUAACGUUGAAAAGUUAGGGGAUGAGCUGUGGAUAGGGGUGAAAGGCUAAACAAACCUGGAAAUAGCUGGUUCUCUCCGAAAACUAUUUAGGUAGUGCCUCGUGUCUCACCUUCGGGGGUAGAGCACUGUCAUGGUUGGGGGGUCUAUUGCAGAUUACCCCGCCAUAGCAAACUCCGAAUACCGAAGAGUGCAAUCACGGGAGACAGACAUCGGGUGCUAACGUCCGGUGUCAAGAGGGAAACAACCCAGACCGCCAGCUAAGGUCCCCAAAUAUGGCUAAGUGGGAAACGAAGUGGGAAGGCUAAAACAGUCAGGAGGUUGGCUUAGAAGCAGCCACCCUUUAAAGAAAGCGUAAUAGCUCACUGAUCGAGUCGUCCUGCGCGGAAGAUGUAACGGGGCUAAGCCAUAUACCGAAGCUGCGGAUGCGUGCUUGCACGCAUGGUAGGAGAGCGUUCCGUAAGCCUGCGAAGGUGCCUUGUAAAGGGUGCUGGAGGUAUCGGAAGUGCGAAUGCUGACAUGAGUAGCGAUAAAGGGGGUGAAAGGCCCCCUCGCCGUAAGCCCAAGGUUUCCUACGCAACGUUCAUCGGCGUAGGGUGAGUCGGCCCCUAAGGCGAGGCAGAAAUGCGUAGCUGAUGGGAAGCAGGUCAAUAUUCCUGCACCGUCGUUAGAUGCGAUGGGGGGACGGAUCGCGGAAGGUUGUCCGGGUGUUGGACGUCCCGGUCGCUGCAUUGGAGAAGGCGCUUAGGCAAAUCCGGGCGCGCAAUUCAAGGGUGUGGCGCGAGCGACUUCGGUCGCGAAGCAAUUGGAAGUGGUUCCAAGAAAAGCCUCUAAGCUUCAGUCUAACGAUGACCGUACCGCAAACCGACACAGGUGGGCGAGAUGAGUAUUCUAAGGCGCUUGAGAGAACUCGGGAGAAGGAACUCGGCAAAUUGGUACCGUAACUUCGGGAUAAGGUACGCCCUUGUAGCUUGACUGGCCUGCGCCAGGAGGGUGAAGGGGUUGCAAUAAACUGGUGGCUGCGACUGUUUAAUAAAAACACAGCACUCUGCAAACACGAAAGUGGACGUAUAGGGUGUGACGCCUGCCCGGUGCCGGAAGAUUAAAUGAUGGGGUGCAAGCUCUUGAUUGAAGUCCCGGUAAACGGCGGCCGUAACUAUAACGGUCCUAAGGUAGCGAAAUUCCUUGUCGGGUAAGUUCCGACCUGCACGAAUGGCGUAACGAUGGCCACACUGUCUCCUCCCGAGACUCAGCGAAGUUGAAGUGUUUGUGAUGAUGCAAUCUACCCGCGGCUAGACGGAAAGACCCCAUGAACCUUUACUGUAGCUUUGCAUUGGACUUUGAACCGAUCUGUGUAGGAUAGGUGGGAGGCUAUGAAACCGGAACGCUAGUUUCGGUGGAGCCGUCCUUGAAAUACCACCCUGGUUUGUUUGAGGUUCUAACCUUGGCCCGUGAUCCGGGUCGGGGACAGUGCAUGGUAGGCAGUUUGACUGGGGCGGUCUCCUCCCAAAGGGUAACGGAGGAGUACGAAGGUACGCUAGGUACGGUCGGAAAUCGUGCUGAUAGUGCAAUGGCAUAAGCGUGCUUAACUGCGAGACCGACAAGUCGAGCAGGUGCGAAAGCAGGUCAUAGUGAUCCGGUGGUUCUGUAUGGAAGGGCCAUCGCUCAACGGAUAAAAGGUACUCUGGGGAUAACAGGCUGAUACCGCCCAAGAGUUCAUAUCGACGGCGGUGUUUGGCACCUCGAUGUCGGCUCAUCUCAUCCUGGGGCUGUAGCCGGUCCCAAGGGUAUGGCUGUUCGCCAUUUAAAGAGGUACGUGAGCUGGGUUUAAAACGUCGUGAGACAGUUUGGUCCCUAUCUGCCGUGGGCGUUGGAUAUUUGAAGGGGGCUGCUCCUAGUACGAGAGGACCGGAGUGGACGAACCUCUGGUGUACCGGUUGUGACGCCAGUCGCAUCGCCGGGUAGCUAUGUUCGGAAGAGAUAACCGCUGAAAGCAUCUAAGCGGGAAACUCGCCUUAAGAUGAGAUAUCCCUGGAGGCUUGACCUCCUUGAAGGGUCGUUCGAGACCAGGACGUUGAUAGGUCGGGUGUGUAAGCGCAGUAAUGCGUUCAGCUAACCGAUACUAAUUGCCCGUAAGGCUUGAUCCU
rnacentral:rRNA from 1 species